AUCCAAUUUUGAUAUUUAUAGGAAGACCACCAGAAACUGCCCAUUCACCCAAAAAGAAGUCUGAAGAAGUCAAAGACACAAACGAUGGUAGUUUUACCGAUGACCCCGUAUGGCAACGUAGACAGGACGAAAAAAACAUUCAAGACGGAAUAAUCAAAGAUAACACUAAGCCAAUGUCGGGUGAAAACAAUUCCGUAGGUGUAGAUAAAGCUGAGGUAAUUAGUAGAUCAAAUCCUUGUACACUUGUAUAUAAACAUUCAAGAGGCUAAACU